rnacentral:tRNA from 1 species
CCGCCCAUAGCUCAAUUGGUAGAGCAGUCCCCUUUUAAGGGAAAGGUUCCUGGAUCGUGCCCAGGUGGGCGGA